GUAAUAACAAUAAAAUAUUAAAUUGUGUCAUGUAAUAUCAUAUAAAAUUAAAUGAUUUUUUUUUCUAGGUGCGAAGCUUUUCAGUUUUAAAGUGCACAUAUGCAUAUAUAUUAUAUAAAUAUAAUAUAGAUAAAAAUUAUAAAUACAUUAACGAACAGUUUAGAUCCCUGCGCCAAGAUUUAAAUAUACAAAAUAUAUUUCAUGAUGACGUAAUAAAUAUAUAUGAAACGAAUAUUAGAAUUUGUAUAGUUAACAAUGACUUAUUUCAGUUUCUUCAGUGCAUUAACAAAUUAUUUGAGUUAUAUCAAAGGCUUAACAUCAAAAAAUCAAAGGUUGAGUUUUUAUGCUAUAAGCUUAUUUAUAUGACAUUGCAAAAUAUGCAUCAAGAGUUUCUUAUUGAGUAUCUAGAGUUAAGCGAAGAAGAAAAGAACCAUAGUAACAUACAGUUGUGUUAUUAUUUAAAUGAAUGUAUAAAAAAUAAAAUGUAUUUAAUUAGUAUUAACAUGAUGUCACCGUUAAAUGAUGAGGAAAAUCAUGAAUACAUAUAUAAUCGAGUUUUUAUAAACAACCAUAUAUUAACAUAUUUACCUAAUUUGAUGAAUAUAAGUGAAAAUGUAGAUUUAAAUGUGGAUACUGAAUCGUUAGUUACAUUUGUAACAAACCAUAGUGAACUUAAAAAUUUAGACGAUACAGAAAAUGAGAAUACAUUUAAAAAAAUGGAUGUGAUUAAAAUGCCAUAUUUAACUAAUUAUUUAAUUGUUUUGUUUUUGCCAAAAUAUAGACUAUUAGCCUUGAUAAAUAUAUGCAAGACAAGUAUAAAAGUAAAUGUAUCUACAUUAACCAAGCUGUUAAAUUUUGAAAAUGACGAAGAGUGCAAACAAUUUUUGAAUGAAGUUAACACUACGCUAAGUAAUAAUGAAGUUUUAAGCAAACCAUCAUUAGCUAACAUCAUGAAAUCUCCCUUGUUAAAAAAUAAAUAUAUAAAUCAUAUAAGAUAAAAAAAAAAAAAAAAAAAAAAAAAAUUGAUAGAAUGUAUAAAUAAUAAUACAUAUGUGAAUUAUGCUUCAUUUUUUAAGCACAACAAACUAGCAAUUGUAUAUGUACAUAUAUAUAUAUAUAUACGUAUAUAUAAAUCAUUGUUUUUAUUGUUUAUAUUAUUUAUAUUGUUCACAUUAUUCAUAUUAUUCACAUUAUUUAUAUUGUUCACAUUAUUUAUAUUGUUCACAUUAUUUAUAUUGUUCACAUUAUUUAUAUUGUUUAAGAUUUUUUUUUUUUUUUUUUUUAACACAUUUUUAAGUUGUUAUGUAAAACAUUACAGGUUAUGUGCAAUUAUGUUACAGUAAUUUACCCCCAAAAAAUUAAAUAUACGCUUUAACCUUAAUUAAAAUAGUACUUUAAAAAUUAACAUUUAAAUUGAUUUGUCGCAUAUAAAUAUGCAAAAA
rnacentral:lncRNA from 1 species